rnacentral:misc_RNA from 1 species
UUGAAUUGUUUGUCUGAACUGGCUUGCCAGUUUGACAUCCAUAUCCUUCACACCUGUGCACUGUUGGAUGACCAGAUCACUACCUUUUGGUAGGAGUCUGCAAGUCCACUUUUACACUUAACAUUAAUGUAACAAAUGUAGUCUUAUUAUAACAUAAUA